rnacentral:rRNA from 1 species
GACGAACGCUGGCGGCGUGCUUAACACAUGCAAGUCGAACGGAAAGGCCCUGCUUUUGUGGGGUGCUCGAGUGGCGAACGGGUGAGUAACACGUGAGUAACCUGCCCUUGACUUUGGGAUAACUUCAGGAAACUGGGGCUAAUACCGGAUAGGAGCUCCUGCUGCAUGGUGGGGGUUGGAAAGUUUCGGCGGUUGGGGGUGGACUCGCGGCUUAUCAGCUUGUUGGUGGGGUAGUGGCUUACCAAGGCUUUGACGGGUAGCCGGCCUGAGAGGGUGACCGGCCACAUUGGGACUGAGAUACGGCCCAGACUCCGACGGGAGGCAGCAGUGGGGAAUAUUGCACAAUGGGCGGAAGCCUGAUGCAGCAACGCCGCGUGCGGGAUGACGGCCUUCGGGUUGUAAACCGCUUUCGCCUGUGACGAAGCGUGAGUGACGGUAAUGGGUAAAGAAGCACCGGCUAACUACGUGC